rnacentral:rRNA from 1 species
UCGCACCUACCGAUUGAAUGAUUCGGUGAAGAUUCGGGACCGUGCCUGCUCCGUUCACGCGGGACUGGCGUGGGAACUUAUCUGAACCUCAUCAUUUAGAGGAAGGUGAAGUCGUAACAAGGUUUCCGUAGGUGAACCUGCAGAAGGAUCA